UUACUUCAGCAGAAAAUGUACUAAAAUUGGAAUGAUGCAGAGAAGAUUAGCACAGAGAAGAUUGCCCCUGAGCAAGGAUGAAUGCAAAUUUGUGAAACAGUCCAUAUUUUU